CCCUUAGAUGUUCUGAACCGCACGCGUGUUACACUGAUGCAUUCAACGAGCUUUACCUUGGCCGAGAGGCCUGGGAAAUCUUUUUAGCAUGCAUCGUGAUAGGGAUUGAUUAUUGCAAUUAUUAAUCAUGAACGAGGAAUUCCUAGUAAACGCAUUUCAUCAAAAUGCAUUGAUUACGUCCCUGCCCUUUGUACACACCGCCCGUCGCUCCUACCGAUUGAAUGAUCCGAUGAAUACCAUGGAUUGAGAGUACGAAUAGGUUCGCUUAUUUCUGCUGCUCGAGAAGUGGAGUAAAUCUUAUCAUUUAGAGGAAGGAGAAGUCGUAACA
rnacentral:rRNA from 1 species